rnacentral:rRNA from 1 species
UACAGAGGGUGCGAGCGUUACUCGGAAUUACUGGGCGUAAAGCGUGCGUAGACGGCUAUCUAAGUCGGGUGUGAAAGCCCCGGGCUCAACCUGGGAAUUGCAUUCGAGACUGAAUAGCUAGGGUACGGUAGAGGGAAGUGGAAUUUCCGGUGUAGCGGUGAAAUGCGUAGAUAUCGGAAGGAACAUCAGUGGCGAAAGCGACUUCCUGGACCAGUACCGACGUUCAGGCACGAAAGCGUGGGGAGCAAACAGG